AUAAGCGGAGGAAAAGAAACUAACAAGGAUUCCCUAGUAACUGCGAGUGAACCCGGGAAAAGCUCAAAUUUAAAAUCUGAUAGUCUUUGGCUGUCCGAGUUGUAAUCUGGAGAAGCGUCUUCCGCGCUGGACCGUGUACAAGUCUCUUGGAACAGAGCGUCAUAGAGGGUGAGAAUCCCGUCUUUGACACGGACUACCAGUGCUUUGUGAUGCGCUCUCAAAGAGUCGAGUUGUUUGGGAAUGCAGCUCAAAAUGGGUGGUAAAUUCCAUCUAAAGCUAAAUAUUGGCGAGAGACCGAUAGCGAACAAGUACCGUGAGGGAAAGAUGAAAAGCACUUUGGAAAGAGAGUUAAACAGUACGUGAAAUUGCUGAAAGGGAAACGCUUGAAGUCAGUCGCGUUCGCUAGUACUCAGCCUGUCUUUUGAUUGGUGCAUUUACUUGUGAACGGGCCAGCAUCAGUUUUGGCUGCGGGAUAAAGAUCAGAGGAAUGUGGCACCCUCGGGUGUGUUUAUAGCCUUUGGUCAUAUACCGCGGCUGGGACUGAGGAUCUCAGCACGCCUUUAUGGCGGGGGUUCGCCCACCUUCGUGCUUAGGAUGCUGGCGUAAUGGCUUUAAACGACCCGUCUUGAAACACGGACCAAGGAGUCUAACAUGCCUGCGAGUGUUUGGGUGGUAAACCCGAGCGCGUAAUGAAAGUAAAAGUUGGGACCUCUGUCGUGGAGGGCACCGACGCCCGGACCAGACCUUCUGUGACGGAUCCGCGGUAGAGCAUGUAUGUUGGGACCCGAAAGAUGGUGAACUAUGCCUGAUAGGGUGAAGCCAGAGGAAACUCUGGUGGAGGCUCGUAGCGAUUCUGACGUGCAAAUCGAUCGUCAAAUUUGGGUAUAGGGGCGAAAGACUAAUCGAACCAUCUAGUAGCUGGUU
rnacentral:rRNA from 1 species